UCGGCGGGCCCGCCUUAACUGGCCGCCGGGGGGCUCACGCCCCCGGGCCCGCGCCCGCCGAAGACACCCUCGAACUCUGUCUGAAGAUUGUAGUCUGAGUGAAAAUAUAAAUUAUUUAAAACUUUCAACAACGGAUCUCUUGGUUCCGGCAUCGAUGAAGAACGCAGCGAAAUGCGAUACGUAAUGUGAAUUGCAAAUUCAGUGAAUCAUCGAGUCUUUGAACGCACAUUGCGCCCCCUGGUAUUCCGGGGGGCAUGCCUGUCCGAGCGUCAUUGCUGCCCUCAAGCCCGGCUUGUGUGUUGGGCCCCGUCCUCCGAUCCCGGGGGACGGGCCCGAAAGGCAGCGGCGGCACCGCGUCCGGUCCUCGAGCGUAUGGGGCUUUGUCACCCGCUCUGUAGGCCCGGCCGGCGCUUGCCGAUCAACCCAAAUUUUUAUCCAGGUUGACCUCGGAUCAGGUAGGGAUACCCGCUGAACUUAAGCAUAUC
rnacentral:rRNA from 1 species